GAUGAACGCUAGCGGCAGGCUUAAUACAUGCAAGUCGGGGGACAGCACAGGUAGCAAUACUGGGUGGUAACCGGCAAACGGGUGCGGAACACGUACACAACCUUCCUUUAAGUGGGGGAUAGCCCAGAGAAAUUUGGAUUAAUACCCCGUAAUAUAGUUGAAUGGCAUCAUUUGAUUAUUAUAGCUACGGCGCUUAAUGAUGGGUGUGCGGCUGAUUAGAUAGUUGGCGGGAUAACGGCCCACCAAGUCUACGAUCAGGAGCUGAUGUGAGAGACUGAUCAGCGGCAGGGGCACUGAGACACGGGCACGACGCCUACGGGAGGCAGCAGUAAGGAAUAUUGGUCAAUGGACGCAAGUCUGAACCAGCCAUGCCGCGUGAAGGAUUAAGGUCCUCUGGAUUGUAAACUUCUUUUAUUUGGGACGAAAAAUGGCCUUGCUAGGUCAACUGACGGUACCAGAUGAAUAAGCACCGGCUAACUCCGUGCCAGCCGCCGCAGUAACAC
rnacentral:rRNA from 1 species